UACGGAGGGUGCGAGCGUUGUCCGGAAUCACUGGGCGUAAAGGGCGCGUAGGCGGCAAUUCAAGUCAGCUGUGAAAUCUCCGGGCUUAACUCGGAACGGUCAAGUGAUACUGUCGGACUAGAGUACAGAAGGGGCAACUGGAAUUCUCGGUGUAGCGGUGAAAUGCGUAGAUAUCGAGAGGAACACCUGCGGCGAAGGCGGGUUGCUGGGCUGAUACUGACGCUGAGGCGCGAAAGCCAGGGGAGCGAACGGG
rnacentral:rRNA from 1 species